CUCCUCCUCCUCCCGCCCUCCUCCUCCUCCUCCUCCCUCGCAGCCGCAGCGCGGCUCCCGCCGGCAUUUCGCGUCGGUUGUGGCAGCUGCGGGGCCCUGCCCCUCCUGCGAGCGGGGAACAGGGGGAAUCCCCGACAGCGACGAGAGCACGCAGCACCGAGUCGGAAGCGCAGCGCUGCCGUGCUCACAGCUGGCACAGCGUGCAGGCUCCGUGCCCUGAGCUCAGCGCCAGCACGACCCGCUGCCACCCUGCUCCGCGGCCCUGCUCCCGGAGCUAAGUCGUUUGCUUUUUCUUCAGAAGGAGCUGUAAGAGGGGAAAAACAAGGAAGGCAGAACGGACUCGCCGCUAAUGCAAACCCUUAGGUCACAUCGCUGCUGUUUGUAGCGCAUUCCUGAAAAUUAGCUUUACUAAAAAUAAAAAGGGAAUGUUAUUUCCAAGUCGAACGUUUCCUGCAGUACUGCUGAGCUUUCUAAAAGCGUUCAGCUCGUCUGCUGGAAUAUGGCUUCCUCUGUUGCGUUGGGCUGAAAAUAAACAGCAAGCUGGCAAAUGCAGACACGCUGCUCCUCUUAAGGCAGGAAAUAAAGCAGCUGCUUCGUCAU